rnacentral:lncRNA from 1 species
UUCUCUUUGUGGGAGGUUAUUACUAGUUUCUCCUCGUGGAAAUGCUUGUUGGCUAUAUUCAUAGCAAUCCUGCUUACCUUAUUAUUUGGCCCAUGUAUUCUUAACUAUUUCUUUGGCUUUGUCUCCUCUAGACUCAAAGAUAUAAGCCUACCCAAGAUGACAAUCCUGGCCCUAUCACUGGCCUUUAGAUAGACACUUUGUAGAAUAACUCUGAUGCUGAUCACAUCGCGAAUACAACCCUCUUCAGCUGGAAGUAUCCAGAACAUCUUCACCCUUUGCACCCUAGAGGUACCCUGAGUUGGAUCACUGCCCAACCAGAAGAGGAACCCCCCGCAAGCAGACCCGCUACCCAUAUCCAUAGGAGCACAGUGAUAACAAGAAGCCAGCAGCUGACCCACUUAGCUUAAGAAAGCUGAUUCUAUGAAAAACCAUAAGAGACCUGCUAUACCUGUCACAACCCUGUUGCUCCUAACACCUCCUUGUUUAUCAGUCAGGCCCAGGCCCAUCAUCAUGGGACUCUAAAAUUUUCCCCCUCUUGACAAGUGCCCCCUCUCCUACUUAAACUCCCCCAUAUCAACUGCAUGUACCCUCCUCUCAGUGUCAACAGCCUUUUUGCCCUUUGCCCACUUACACCCAG